rnacentral:lncRNA from 1 species
ACGUUGUUUGCCAGCUUGCGGGUGUGGGGGGACAGAGAAAUGGGAUGAAGAAGCAAUACUCAUGAAGACAAGAGGGGAGUGGAUAGGAACUGCAGAACGGGCUGAGAUGUUUCUGUGAAAAGAAAGUGUUGCAAUAAGUGGGCUGGAGAAGUUCAACCUCAGUUCAGAGAAGAGAACAUUCUGUACUCUGCACAACAGGCAGGACUGCUGUAAAACAAGAUCAACAACAUGAUCUCAGCAGCAGCACUACAAUAGAGACACUUUCAAUACUCAAACUGUCCAAAGGAUUUCUCCAUUUACAUUUAAAAAAAAAUCACACACAAGGAUAUGUGAUCAAGAUCCAAUGCAAAGAGGCAGGGGAGAGUUUAAAGUCCACAAACAUUCCACAUUGAUAAGAACUUUAAGAUAUAUUCCUGCAUAGUAACCCAUCUCAAAACAAUCUCAACACUGGACAGGGUGUCAGUAAAGCAGUCACUGUGGAUUCCCACUGCCGGAGCUGUGAACAAAAUCACUGGUGAAGAGGUGGCUGUUAGAGUAAGAGAUAGGAGGCAAAAGGUCCUGCAGUGGUCAUUCUAAAAAAAAGUGUGGAGCAGACAGUAACUGAAGUUGUCCA